CCCUUAGAUGUUCUGGGCCGCACGCGCGCUACACUGAUGCAUUCAACGAGUUCUACCUUGGCCGAGAGGCCUGGGCAAUCUUUUGAACCUGCAUCGUGAUAGGGAUAGAUUAUUGCAAUUAUUAAUCUUGAACGAGGAAUUCCUAGUAAACGCAGUUCAUCAAACUGCAUUGAUUACGUCCCUGCCCUUUGUACACACCGCCCGUCGCACCUACCGAUUGAAUGGUCCGGUGAAAUCUCGGGACGGCGGCUUGGUCGCUUGCGUCCGACUGCUGAAACUUGAUUAAACCAUAUCAUUUAGAGGAAGGUGAAGUCGUAACA
rnacentral:rRNA from 1 species